GGCGAGAUAGCUCAGUCGGUUAGAGCGCAUGAUUCAUAAUCAUGAGGUCGGGGGAUCAUAGCCCCCUCUCGCUA
rnacentral:tRNA from 1 species